GGGGUAUAAUACCCGAUAGGUCUCGAUUGCUGGAAUGCAUCGAGAUUUAAAGCUCCGGCGCCUAAGGAUGGGUCUGCGGCCUAUCAGGUAGUAGUGGGUGUAGCGUACCUACUAGCCUACGACGGGUACGGGUUGUGAGAGCAAGAGCCCGGAGAUGGAUUCUGAGACACGAAUCCAGGCCCUACGGGGUGCAGCAGGCGCGAAAACUUUACAAUGCUGGCAACAGCGAUAAGGGAACCUCGAGUGCCAGGUUACAAAUCUGGCUGUCGAGAUGCCUAAAAAGCAUUUCAUAGCAAGGGCCGGGCAAGACCGGUGCCAGCCGCCGCGGUAACACCGGCGGCUCGAGUGGUAACCGUUAUUAUUGGGUCUAAAGGGUCUGUAGCCGGCCGGAUAAGUCUCUUGAGAAAUCUGGCAGCUUAACUGUCAGGCUUUCAGGAGAUACUGUCUGGCUCGAGGCCGGGAGAGGUGAGAGGUACUUCAGGGGUAGGGGUGAAAUCUUGUAAUCCUUGAAGGACCACCAGUGGCGAAGGCGUCUCACCAGAACGGACCUGACGGCAAGGGACGAAAGCUAGGGGCACGAACCGGAUUAGAUACCCGGGUAGUCCUAGCCGUAAACGAUACUCGCUAGGUGUCGGCCACGGUGCGACCGUUGUCGGUGCCGUAGGGAAGCCGUGAAGCGAGCCACCUGGGAAGUACGGCCGCAAGGCUGAAACUUAAAGGAAUUGGCGGGGGAGCACCACAACGGGUGGAGCUUGCGGUUUAAUUGGAUUCAACGCCGGA
rnacentral:rRNA from 1 species